GCGAAGGUGGCGGAAUUGGUAGACGCGCUAGCUUCAGGUGUUAGUGUUCUUACYGACGUGAGGGUUCAAGUCCCUCUCUUCGCACCA
rnacentral:tRNA from 1 species